rnacentral:lncRNA from 1 species
AUGAAGCAAGAGAUUGAGAGUUUGAGGCUAUGGCAGAAAGUCAUGGAGGAGCAGCGACCAAGACUGGCCUGGAACAACAAACCUAUUGAAACAGGAAGAGAGAGGGAAAGAAAGAGGGAAAGGGAGAGAAAAGCAGAAUUGGAAAGACAAGAAAUGAAGAAGAAAGUGGAACAGGCAGAAGAAACGAUAAAAGCGUUAGAACGAGAGAUUGAGAGAUUGAAAGAGAUUGAGAAGGAAAUCAAAUUUGAAAGAGAAAGAGACAUGCGUAUUGCAGAGAAUGAGAAAGUCAAACUGGUUAACGAAAAGGUAAAAGAGUUAGAGAGAGAGGUUGAGAGACUGAAAGAAGAUAUGACAACAAAAGAGAUUCAAUACAAAAUCAAAUUUGAAAGAGCGAAAGAAGUGUUUAGAAGACAGAAUGAGAGAGUGAAACAGGUUAACCAAAAUGUACUAGUGUUAGACAGAGAGGUUGUGAGAAUGAAAGAAGAGAUUAGAUUGAAAGACGAGACUGAACCAGAGAGAACAUUUGAUAGAGACAGAGAGAGAGGAAAUGAUUGGAGACAAUGUGAAGAGGAGAUGAAAAAGAGAGUGGAGAGAGAGAUGGAGCUGGAGACAGCCCUCAUCAAUGACAAAAAGACGUCUGAAUUGGAGGAAGUCUUCAAGAAAAUCAAGGAACAGCGGAUUGAAUUAGAAAAUAUGGAAACAGACAAAUAUAAAUGGAAACAGAACCAAAUGGACAUGGAGGAGAAGAUGGAGGGUGAGCACAACAAACAGAAAGAGGUAGAAAGAAAGAGAAUGGAGAAAAUACCAAAACAGAGACAAGAAGAAGAUGAGAAGAAGAAGGAGAUGGAGAGAGAAGAAGAAGAGGAGAGACGCAAACAGAAGCACAUAGAGAUGGAAGAGGAAGAAAGAGAGGGGGAGAAAGAGAGACAGAGAGACAUCAAAAGAAAGAUCAUGGAAAAGAGACAAAAACAUAUCGAAAGAGAAGAAGAGAGACAGAAAGUGAUUGAAAGAGAUCGUGAAGAAGAAAGAUGUAAACAGAAGCAAAUAGAGAUGGAAGAGGAAGAAAGGGAGAGGGAGAAAGAUAGACAGAGAGAGAUCAAAAGGAAGAUAAUGGAAAAGAGACAUAAAAAUAUGGAAAGAGAAGAGAGACAGAGAGAGAUUGAAAGAGAUCGUGAAGAAGAAAGAUGUAAACAGAAGCAAAUAGAGAUGGAAGAGGAAGAAAGGGAGAGGGAGAAAGAUAGACAGAGAGAGAUCAAAAGGAAGAUAAUUGAAAAGAGACAUAAAAAUAUGGAAAGAGAAGAGAGACAGAGAGAGAUUGAAAGAAAGAUAAUGGAAAAGAGACAAAAACAAAUCGAAAGAGAAGAAGAGAGACAGAAAGAGAUUGAAAGAGAGCAUGAAGAAGAACUAUUUGAACAGAAGCAAAAAGAGAUGGAAGAGGAAGAACGAGAGAGGGAGAAAGAGAGACAGAGAGAGAUCAAAAGAAAGAUAAUGGAAAAGAGACAAAAACAUAUCGAAAGAGAAGAAGAGAGACAGAAAGAGAUUGAAAGAGAUCGUGAAGAAGAAAGAUGUAAACAGAAGCAAAUAGAGAUGGAAGAGGAAGAAAGAGAGAGGGAGAAAGAGAGACAGAGAGAGAUUGAAGAAGAAAGAUGUCAACAGAAGCAAAUAGAGAUGGAAGAGGAAGAACGAGAGAGGGAGAAAGAGAGACAGAGACAGAAAAAUAUGGAAAGAGAAGAAGAGAGACAGAGAGAGAUUGAAAGAGAGAAUGAAGAAGAAAAAUGUAAACAGAAGCAAAUUGAGAUGGAAGAGGUAGAACGAGAAGAAGAAAGACAGAGAGAGAUUGAAAGAGAAGAAGAGGAGAGACGCAAACAGAAGCACAUAGAGAUGGAAGAGGAAGAAAGAGAGAGGGAGAAAGAGAGACAGAGACAGAUCAGAAGACAGAGAAUGGAAAAGAGACAAAAACAUAUCGAAAGAGAAGAGAGACAGAAAGACAUUGAAAGAGAGCAUGAAGAAGAACUAUUUGAACAGAAGCAAAAAGAGAUGGAAGAGGAAGAACGAGAGAGGGAGAAAGAGAGACAGAGAGAGAUUGUAAGAGAGUAUGAAGAAGAAAGAUGUCAACAGAAGCAAAUAGAGAUGGAAGAGGAAGAAAGAGAAGAAGAGAGACAGAGAGCGAUCGAAGAGAAAGAAAGACGACAGCAACAAGAGGAGAGAAAGAUAAUGUUUGAGAGAGAUCAAGAAGAAGAAAAUAUAUGGAAACAGAAGCAAAUUGACAUGGAGAAGGAGGGAAGAGAGGGGGAGAACAAGAGACAGAGAGAGAUAGAAGAGAUACACAGACGACAACAACAAGAGGAGAGACCGAAACAAAUGGAGAAGGAGAAAGAAAGGGAGAAAGACAAUGACAAUCAGAGAGAGAUGGAAUUAAAAGAUCAGCAACAGAAAGAGAUGGAGAAAGAAAAGAUGAUUAUGAGAGAAAGGGAGGAAGCAGGAAGAAGAAAGGAGGGGCAGGAAAAUAUUUUGGGGGAAAUUGAGGGACAGAAUGAACUGGAGAUAGAACAGGAGAGAGAGAUGGAAGAAAAGCAGGAAGUGAUUAAGGAAGCAGAGGAAGAGUACAGGGAAAGAGAAGAGAGAGGAAAGGAAGUAAGCAUGAAGAAACAUGUAGUAGUUAAUGUUAAAGCAAAAGCACGGGAAGUCUUCAAUAGGCGUAAAGAGAGGAGGUUAGAAGUGUUGAAGGGGGAACGAGAACACAUAGAAAGAGGACAACAAAUCAGGAGGGAGAAGGAGGAAAGACGGCUGGAGAUGGAAAGAAAACAGGAGAGGGCAAGACAACAAGAGGAGCAGGAUAAAAAACAAGAGAUUGAAAUUGCUAGACAGAAAGAAAUGUUGAGACUAAGAGAGGAGGAGAGGCAGAGAGAGGAAGAGAGAGAGGAGCAGAGAAAGAGAGCCAUUGAAGGCCAUUUAGCUUUAAUCAGAGAGAGAGAGAAGAUUUUAGAGGUAAAGAAAAAAGAGAAGAUGGGGGGGCCAGACAGCCAGCAGCUAGAAGCUCCAGAAGAGGCUGAAACAUCAGAGCCAACCUCCAAGAACAAGAAAAAGCCAAGCAUCUGGAAGAGAAUUAAGAUGAGCCUUCCUGACGUGCUGUCUGCCUAGAGCUGGAACUCGAUGAAGCCACAGUUCCACUGAGGUUACGUUGGUAAUUAAAAGUGUCGCCCAAUAAUUCCUCCUCCUCUUUAAGUCAUCAAGCCACAUUUCCUCCUCAAAACAUUAUAGUCUCCUCAAGCCAGCAAGUAUCCUCUUUAUCAGGCAACAAACCAUCGAAGGUCAGUGACCCUCCUCCCCAGAGCAGAGACUCUC